CCUACGGGUGGCAGCAGUGGGGAAUAUUGGGCAAUGGGCGCAAGCCUGACCCAGCAACGCCGCGUGAAGGAAGAAGGCUUUCGGGUUGUAAACUUCUUUUGUCAGGGACGAAGCAAGUGACGGUACCUGACGAAUAAGCCACGGCUAACUACGUGCCAGCAGCCGCGGUAAUACGGAGGAUGCGAGCGUUAUUCGGAUUUAUUGGGUUUAAAGGGUGCGCAGGCGGAAGCGGCAAGUCAGCGGUAAAAUUGCGGGGCUCAACCUCGCCGAGCCGUUGAAACUGCUCUUCUAGAGUGGGCGAGAGGUAUGCGGAAUGCGUGGUGUAGCGGUGAAAUGCAUAGAUAUCACGCAGAACUCCGAUUGCGAAGGCAGCAUACCGGCGCCCAACUGACGCUCAUGCACGAAAGCGUGGGUAUCGAACAGGAUUAGAUACCCCAGUAGUC
rnacentral:rRNA from 1 species